GGGUGUAUAGUUCAGUGACAGAGCACAUGGUCAGCAUGCACGAGGUCCUGGGUUCAAUCCCCAGUACCUCUA
rnacentral:tRNA from 1 species